CUCAGAAGCAGGUUAAACGAAAGCCUUCAAUCAUAUUUUCUCAGCUCUUUAACUGAACAACAUUCUCCUUCCAAGAUUUUGAUAAGUAAACUCAGCUCUCUUCAGAUAUAACCCUUCUGAAUUCUGAUUAUGUGGGCUCCAAAUGGAAUAAGGUCAGAAGUACUAUGGAUGCCCGCUUCUGGAGGACCCUUGGUGCUGUGUCUUUGUCUUGAACAGAGACCCCCAUUGCUCUCAGCCCCUUGGCAGAGGUUGACCCCAGGCAUCACCCACUUGCAAACAGCCAAAUGUUCUGAGUGAGGGCAAGAUAAGUCUUCCAGGGACCUCAGCCUUGGACAAAAGGAGUACGGGCAAGGACAUUUGACAUUUCUAGUCCUAAAUUCAAAAGGAGAAGGUUGGGUAGUGUCACUGGAAUGGGGGGAGGGGGCAGUGAUGCUAAUGAGCUGGAGGGAGGGUGGGUUCUGUGUGUCCAGCCUCAAGGCCUCAAUGUGGCUUUUAUUCUAGACUCUCCAGCUGAAUGUGGGAAAGACUUUUAAUCAAGCAGUUGUUCCUGGUGUCUUGAUUUUAAGGCCUCAGCCACCAGCCCUUCUGCUGGACAGACAUUUUUGGUGACUGACCAUGGCCUGGAAUGGUCAGAGAGGAAGAGGGGACAUUGAUGGGGCCUCGGAAAUUCUCCAGAGAAAGGAGAGGAAGGAGAGGAAGAGAGGAGAAAGACUAUGAAAGGCAGGGAUUAAAAAAAAAAAAAAAACAUGCACACACCAUCACCAUUAUCAUUGUCAUGGCUAUUAUUUAUAGAGCACUGACUAUAUUCCAGACAGUGCCUUACCCGCGUGAGCUCACUGAAGCCUCAGAAAGAUCUAUGAGACGGCGCUCUUGUUACCCCUGUUUCACAGAUGAAGAAACAGAAGUACAGAAAGUGUAAGCAAGUCGCCCAAAGUCACACGGCUAACAGGCGCCGCAGAAGGGCAGGGGUUUCCUUCAAACAAAAAUGUUAAACGGAAGCUCAAAGGUGGAAGAACUUCAGCUGUGGCUGGUUGUGGGCAGGGAGCGUUCUGAGACAGAAAACGCUCAGGAAGGGCAGGUCCCAUGGGCAGGAGCCUU
rnacentral:lncRNA from 1 species